AUUGAACGCUGGCGGCAUGCCUUACACAUGCAAGUCGAACGGUAACGGGCCUUCGGGUGCCGACGAGUGGCGAACGGGUGAGUAAUGCAUCGGAACGUACCUUUCAGUGGGGGAUAACGUAGCGAAAGUUACGCUAAUACCGCAUAGUCUGUGAGCAGGAAAGCAGGGGAUCGCAAGACCUUGCGCUGAUUGAGCGGCCGAUGUCAGAUUAGCUAGUUGGUGAGGUAAAGGCUCACCAAGGCGACGAUCUGUAGCGGGUCUGAGAGGAUGAUCGGCCACACUGGGACGGAGACACGGUCCAGACUCCUACGGGAGGAAGCAGUGGGGAAUUUUGGACAAUGGGGGCAACCCUGGUCCAGCCAUGCCGCGUGAGUGAAGAAGGCCUUCGGGUUGUAAAGCUCUUUCGGUCGGGAAGAAAUCGCAUGGGUUAAUACCCUGUGCGGAUGACGGUACCGGCAUAAGAAGCACCGGCUAACUACGUGCCAGCAGCCGCGGUAACAC
rnacentral:rRNA from 1 species